UGUCUGUUUGUCAGGUUACUGGAGUACUGAUGGCUGUAAUACUAUCAUCGACGGAGGAGACUUUGUGUGCAGUUGUAAUCAUCUGAGCUUUUUUGCAGUGCUCAUAGAGCUGGCUCCAGAAAUAUUCCAAAUGUGUAUCUGAGUUCAGGAGGGUUGCUCAAGUUCAGUCCAUAUAUCAGUCCCAUCAGCAUGGGUGUAAACUGCUAGGUCCUGAAGAACUUUAUCUUCCAACAUCUGCUGGACUGUCUCCAAUGAUGCAGCUUCAAAUAGAUUCCCACGAGUCUUCUGGAUCACCUCCUGAUUGCUGGCAACGUCUGUAUCCUAGAAGUAUUUAAAACGACGGAGUACUCAAAUUCUUGUGUAUUGUCUUUACCAAAGCAUUUAUUAACCUUGAAAUAUGAAAAAUAAAUAAAUAAAACUCACCAUAAACUCCAUAGUGCUAGGGUCUUUAUGUGGAUACUUCAAUUUCAUUAGUCUGAAGAUGAAAACAACCAAAUUUAGCCAGAUCAGCACAGAAAGCCACUGUCCUGCAGAGUUUAGCAAUAUUCCUAAUUAAAGGGAUAGUUCACCCAAAAAUGAAAAUUCUAUCAUUAACUGCUCAACCUUCAUGUCUUUCUAAACCCGCAAGAUCUUCGGUCAACUUCAGAACACAAAUUAAGAUUUUUUUGAUGAAAUCCAAGAGCUUUCUGACCCUGCAUGGUGAGCAACAUGACUGGAAUGUUCCCAGACAAUUUUUGUUUGCUUUACACACAAAAAGUAUUUUCAAAGCUUCGUAAAAGUGCGAUUGAACCACUGAUGUCACAUGGACUGUUUUAAUGAUGUCCUUACUUUGACUCUGGGUCUGGGAACAUUUCAGUUGCAUAGCCGCCUUUAUGGAGGUUCAGAAAGCUCUUGCAUCUUGAUAAAAAUAUCAUCAUUUGUGUUCUGUAGAUGAAUGAUGGUCUUACGGCUUUGAAACGACAUGAGGGUAAUUAAUGACAUGUUUAUUUUCUGGGUUAUGUAGCCAUUUAAACACAUCUGAACCAGUUAAUCAUUUUUGAGAAUUUUAAAACAAAAACAAAGUCUUAGAAGUUCCAGGCACAUAAAACUGGCUUUCCUAGAGCAGGUUUGGAAACCCCUGCCUUGCAUCAAAAUAAAUAGUUUUUGGGAGGCUAAGUCCAGUAAGUGAUCAUCUUGAAAUAUUACUAACAUUAUAAAAAUUAUUCUUACAUUUACUUCAUGAAAAUCAUUUAAGUAAAGUAAAAGUAAAUCAUUCACAAUAAAAAGACAUGUCUGCCUCGUCCUGAGGGAUACGACCUGAAGAUAUAAAAUAUUAAUCAGAUUUCCAGCAUAGUUUUGAUCACGUAUCGAUGAAAGAAGAUUAUUUGAGAAAUAAUUUGGUCUCAGUGUGUGUGUUUUUCUACAUAAUGGAAGACAAUUAUAAUCAGAAUGGUUCGGUUACCAGCAUUCUUCAAAUGUAUCUUGUAUUCUGCAAAAAAAGGAAGUCAUACAGGUUUGGAAUGACAUGAGGGUGAGUAAAUAAUGAAUGUGUUAUAUCCCCAUGAGUCAGAUUUAAUAAUAAUAUAAUUGCAGUGUUAUAUUAAACAUUAUACAAAAUGUUUAAAUCAUUUAUGAAAUAUGAUGAAAAAAGGAGGCAAAUGGAGCAUUAAGGAAAAAAAAAACGUUUGAACACUUAAAACAUAAAAAAAAACCUCAACAAUUAAAACAUCAGCUUAAAUGUGGGGGUAUAGACAAAUACAAUUAUCAUUUUUAAGUUUUAAUGUCUCUCAGGAGUGUAUCAUUGAUAAAGACUGUGAGAAGGGCAGCCAAUGUCUGUAUGAAACACAGAGCGCAAAGUGUCUGUCCUGCAAACACACUGAUGCAGUAAGCACUUUCCAAUUUCUCAGACCAGGCACAUUUUUAGGUACACUUAAGCUCUGCUACUAUCCAGUAAAAUAUCAUCUAGUUUGCUUAUUACAUGUUAGGUGUUCAGCCUAGUCUCUGUUUAUUUUUAUUUGCUCAUGACUUUUUGCUUUCUCUGGGUCUCUGUACAAAUAUUAUACUCAGCAAUGUGGCUUUCCAAUAAAAUGAUGCAGCUGA